GCUUAACGCGAAGAACCUUACCAGGUCUUGACAUCCAGAGAACUUUCCAGAGAUGGAUUGGUGCCUUCGGGAACUCUGAGACAGGUGCUGCAUGGCUGUCGCCAGCUCGUGUCGUGAGAUGUUGGGUUAAGUCCCGUAACGAGCGCAACCCUUAUCCUUAUUUGCCAGCGGGUCAUGCCGGGAACUUUAAGGAGACUGCCGGUGACAAACCGGAGGAAGGUGGGGAUGACGUCAAGUCAUCAUGGCCCUUACGACCUGGGCUACACACGUGCUACAAUGGCGCGCACAGAGGGCGGCAACCCCGCGAGGGUGAGCAAAUCCCAAAAAACGCGUCGUAGUCCGGAUUGGAGUCUGCAACUCGACUCCAUGAAGUCGGAAUCGCUAGUAAUCGUGAAUCAGAAUGUCACGGUGAAUACGUUCCCCGGGUCUUGUACAC
rnacentral:rRNA from 1 species